rnacentral:rRNA from 1 species
CCAGACUCCUACGGGAGGCAGCAGUGAGGAAUAUUGGUCAAUGGACGCAAGUCUGAACCAGCCAUGCCGCGUGCAGGAAGACGGCUCUAUGAGUUGUAAACUGCUUUUGUACGAGGGUAAACGCAGAUACGUGUAUCUGUCUGAAAGUAUCGUACGAAUAAGGAUCGGCUAACUCCGUGCCAGCAGCCGCGGUAAUACGGAGGAUUCAAGCGUUAUCCGGAUUUAUUGGGUUUAAAGGGUGCGUAGGCGGUCGGAUAAGUUAGAGGUGAAAUCCCGAGGCUCAACCCCGGCGAGCCGUUGAAACUGUCGGACUAGAGACGGCGAGAAGUACGCGGAAUGCGCGGUGUAGCGGUGAAAUGCAUAGAUAUCGCGCAGAACUCCGAUUGCGAAGGCAGCGUACCGGCGCCGGACUGACGCUGAGGCACGAAAGCGUGGGUAUCGAACAGGAUUAGAUACCCUGGUAU